UGUAGAUCUCUUGUCGCGCCUCCUCUUGCAGUGCCUUUCCCUAUUCCGCACAGGCUGACGUUGGGAACCACUGAAAAGUGUCCUGAAAGAGGCAUUUUCUGUAGCAAAACACGGAUAUCAUAUAUAGAAACGUGUAAAGGUGGGAAAUGGUUGCCUAUAUUGCUAAUACUUUAGUCUUCAUCUUAAGUGGUGUAGUUAUAGCUGAAAGUGUUCUCAGCAGCGACAUAACAUUUAAAACCCAUGAAAAUUCUUGGGGUUAUCCGGUCCUUCUGUAUGUGCUUGUUCAAGUAGCUAGAGCAAUUGUGGUUGGAUUGUUGUUUCCAUUGCUGCAAUAUUUUGGUUAUGAUCUGUACUGGAGAGAAGCCAUUAUUCUUUUCUGGUCUGGCAUGUGUGGGGCUAUAGCACUGGCGCUGUCACUCUCUGUUAAGCAUUCCAGUGAUAAUUCACCAUAUAUCUCUCCCGAUACUGGAGAUUUGUUUGUCUUUUUGACCAGUGGAAUCGUGUUUCUUAAGCUGAUUGUGAAUGGGUCUACUAUUUUACAUUUUCUUAAGAUGGAUAAUCUUUCGCCAGUUAAGAAAAGGAUUUUGAAUUACACAAAGUAUGAAAUGCUAAAGAAGGCACUGGAAGCCUUUGGUGAUCUUAGGGAUGAUGAAGAACUAGGACCAGCUGACUGGACUACUGUUAGAAGAUACAUAAAGAGCCUAAAUGAUGCGGAUGGUGUUCAGGCAGCUUACUGGAUCAUGCUUGAUGAAGGAAGGAUUAACCCAACUACUGCUAAUCUUCUAAUGCGAUCUGUUGAUGAAGCGCUGGACCUUGUAUCUCAUGAAGCGUUGUGUGAUUGGAAAGGAGACUGUGAGAUUGCAGCCAUGGUUAUUAGCGAAAGUGAACAAGAGGGUGAGGAAGCAAGAAACUCUUUAGAUGAUGUUCGUGUUACGUUUCCUCAGGUGCUACGUGAUGUGAAAACAAGAAAAGUUACAUAUUCAGUUCUGAUUCAUUUGAUUGAAUGUAUCAAUAAUCUUGAGAAGAAAGGGUUACUAGAAAAAAAGAAGAUGAUUCACCUUCAUGAUGCUGUCCAGACUGACUUGAAAAAAUUCCUAAGAGAUCCACCUUUGGUGAAAACUCCCAACAUAAAGGAUCUGAUAUCAGCAAAUCCUCUGCUGGGCGCACUACAAGCCACAGCACGUGAGGCACUAGCAGGAUCUACAAAAGAAAUAAUCAGACUAUCUGGAACCACCGUUUAUAAAGAGGGAUCAAAGCCAACUGGUAUCUGGUUAUUGUCAAAUGGAGUGGUGAAGUGGUCAACUAAAGAUGCAAGUACUAAGCAGUUCCUGCACCCAACGUUUACUCAUGGGAGUACUAAGCAGUUCCUGCACCCAAAGAUGCAAGGAUUUUGCUUGCAGACAAGACCGUUAAGCUCAUGAUGCAUGAAACUAUAGAUUCUUAUGUAUGUAAUGCUUUCGUGAAGGUCUAACUUCUGGCACCAGAGCGGGAAGUUCCUAUCAUCAAGUUUCGGUGUAUCAAGUUGAGGCGAGGUCAAGGGUGAUCAUACCACCAGCUUGUUUCUCAUUAGCAGCCUUUAUGUUUCGCGAAUCAAGAAUUUCUUCGAGCGUGCAGACAACAAUCUUCCCCUUAACCAGAGCCAGAUCUAGGGUGUAUGCUCUUACAAAAGCUGGAAGAUAAAACAGAAUCUGACACUCGAAGAUUCAAGAACGAGAACAAGGAAAGUACCUCACAUUUGCAGAGGGAAUCCCGGCCGCUGCUGCUUCACUCCCGGCCACCAAACCGUUGAAGCUGUUCAUCUGAAAAGGGUUUGUGAGGACCUGGAUUCUUUUGGCUGCCAAUUAUACCCCAAUGCAUUUAUAGAUUAGCUUUGUAGCACUCUAGCAAUCCCAAUUUAUAUGGGUUGGCUCUACCAAUCCCAGUUUAUAUGGGUUGGCUCUACCAAUCCCAGUUUAUAUGGGUUGGCUCUACCAAUCCUAAUGUAAGAAAACCUGAGAAUUAGAAUAUCUUGGAAUAUAGCUUGAGUCAUAUUAUGAAAAAGUCCAGUUUUGAUA